rnacentral:lncRNA from 1 species
UUUCUUAAGUUUUUGGCUGAUCACAUGCAUUAUAGAGUGAAAUCUCUAUUCCAAGUUUGAGCCUUUUUUCCUAAAUAUUUCAUUAAACUUUGAUGGUAAUUUCCUGGUAGCAUGUAUAUUACAGGUAAUCACAGAAAAGAUAUCAAGGUUAAGUAUAAUGCCAUGACAACCAUCGGAUGUCAUGAACUUUGUUUUGCGACUCAAUUAGAAUGAGCUCCCUUGAAUUCCUACUUUAAUUCACCUCAGGGUAAUUAGUUCUGAA